AGAUCCCACAUCUGAUCCAGUCCUAGUCCCAUUGGUUCUAUACAAUGCAUUUCAAAUAUGACUGUCUGGCUCCAUCAUCACUACUUCCACUCUAGUGUCAGUAACCACCAUCUGCAGCCUUGUUGGAAUCAGAUGCAGUCACCAUGCUGUGAGGAAGUCCGAGGAGCCUUAUGGGAAAGCACAGGACUGAACUGUGUGACCAACAAGAUAUAACAGAAAUAACAGCGUGUGACCUCAUAGGGAAAAUUAAGGCCUGCAAAGAUUGAGUGAAAAUUUCAGUGUCCCACUGCUCAUAUGCCUGAAGUUCAUUCGAAUACAAGCAAUCUGGAUCCAGAGCCCUUGCUGUUAAGCAUGACAUAGACUUUUUCCAGAAACUUUUGAUGUUUUCUCCUACAUAGCUCCUUUCUGCAUUCUGGUCAGUGUUUCACUUUUUAGUCAGUUGCCUUACAAGACUCAUGCCAUGGACACAAUCUCCACUUGAGGACAUUAACUUUACUCUUUUAUCAUCACUUGGCCAGGCAAGUGUACUUAGGAAAAAGCAUCUAGGCUUGAGAAUAAAAAUUUUGAUAUUGCUCUUUUUGCAUUGUCACAAUUCAUUUUUUUGUGUGUAUUUCACAAAGGAGGAUCUGUGGUUAAAUAAAUUUGGGAAAAGCUAGGCUAAACAAACUGAAAUAGAAUUUUUAAAUCAGAUGAUCUUGCAAAAAUUUUAAUGUACUAUAUAUAGGGAUUCUUCACAGAUGGAAAUUUCACAAAAUUAUUUUAAUUAUUUUUGAGACAGGGUCUCACCGUGUCACCUAGGCUGGAAUGCAGUGGUAUAAUCAUAACUCAUUGUAGACUCAAACUUCUGGACUCAAGCAAUUCUCUUACCUUAGCUUCCCGAGUAGUUGAGACUACAGCCAUGCACUACCAAGCCCAGAAAAUUUUCAAAACAUUUUUUUUCUUUUUUUUUUUUUGGAGAGACAGGGUCUCACUAUGUUUCCCAGGCUGGUCGCAAACUCCUGGCCUCAACUGAUCCUCCUGCCUUGGCCUCCCAAAGUGCUGGGCUAACAGGCAUGAGCCACUGUGCCCAGCCCCACAAAAUUGUUUUUAUAACUCUUCUUAUUAAAAAAAUCUUACACAACUAAUGCUUUGACAAAAAAAGAUUUUGGAAAUGCUUUGUGACUUACUUUAUCUCAGGGCCAUAUUUUCUUAUUUUUAUAAAGAAGAGGUUAUUUCAUGAUUUCACCUAUAUAAAAUUUUUGUAAGUAUGAUAAAUAAAAAAUAAAAUAGCUUGUAUUGACAUUCAUUUUAAUUCAUUACUAUGUUUUGACCCAUAAUAUGAUCAAAUAUCUGAUUUUUUUUUCCCUUAGGAAGCUGAAAGUUCAGUUAGAAAACCAGGCUGAAAUCCAUAUUUAAACUAGCAUAGCACAUCC
rnacentral:lncRNA from 10 species